AUGACCCAGGCUGAGGUGGGAGCACAGCUUGAGCCCAAGAGUUCGAGUCCAACCUGGGCGAGAGAGUGAGACCUUCCCCCGCACCGCCUAAUCUCUUAAAAAAACCCAAACUGGGACUAAGACGCUCAGGUUUGGUGUGGACUUUCCUUCUGAACAAAGAAGGCAUAAACUUUGGGAAUGGUCACGGGGGCAGCAGUGCUUCUCCAACCACAGUCUCUCUAAAACGCGGAUUCUGAUCAGCAGUUCUGGAUGGGGCCGAGAUUCUGCCUUCCCAGCAUUUCCAACAAGCCCUUUGAGCUGUACGGUCUAGAAAACCUUAAAAUAUUUCUAGCUUCUGGUUCAAUCUCUUUUUGAGAUCCAGCUGCGUGCCUGCCUGUAAUUCUCCCUUAUGCCUAUAUCCUUCUAAACAAAGUCUCCCCUCUGGCUUGAAUUAUAGUCAAAGUGGGGGGUCUGUUCUAAGCAAAUGAACAGUCCUAUGUAACAGAAAAUUAACUUGCCCUACACUGGGACUUCACCAAAUAGGAAAAAAACCCCUCCUGAUUUGGUAAUGAGAGCUAACAGUGACAGCUCAAAAUGGCUUCCAUGUAGGACCCACUGAAGCCCACUGAGGCCCACUGAAGCCUGGCUCGAACCCUCGUAGAUGAGUUCUAGCAUCACUUUCAUUUUACUAUUGUGGAAAUGAAAACACGGUGUCUAACUAAGACAAGAAAUCUCUGUUCAGAAAUACAAUUUGGUUCACUUGCUAAGGAGAAUGGGCUGAGCACUGUGAUAAGCCAUCUUUCAGAGAUACACUUAAGCACUUUGCAAUCAAUGGAUGGAAGGAACCAAACCUUUUCUUCUUGGCAGCUACUGAGAUAUCCAUGGAACUAACAAGGAAACAAGGAAGUGAGACAUGAAGUAGCUUGCAUUGCUGACGAUUCCUUAAUGAUGGAACAGGACUGACAUCCAGAACGGAAUAAUUUUAAUAACAAAUAAUGUCACUGGUAUGUGCAAAGUGCAAAAGUAAUGACAUAGACCUUCGUUAGAAUCUUGACAUUGUCACUUAACAAUAGUGACUAUAAGCUUGGGUUUUCUCAUCUGAAAAAUGGGAGAAGAGAGGUUUCUAAUUCA